UACGUAGGGUGCAAGCGUUGUCCGGAAUUAUUGGGCGUAAAGAGCUCGUAGGCGGUUUGUCGCGUCUGCUGUGAAAACUCGGGGCUCAACUCCGAGCCUGCGUUCGAUACUGGAUGGCUAGAGUCUGGUAGGGGGAUCUGGAAUUCCUGGUGUAGCGGUGGAAUGCGCAGAUAUCAGGAGGAACACCGGUGGCGAAGGCGGGAUCCUGGGCCAGUACUGACGCUGAGGAGCGAAAGCGUGGGGAGCAAACAGG
rnacentral:rRNA from 1 species